rfam:Neolentinus lepideus HHB14362 ss-1 unplaced genomic scaffold NEOLEscaffold_3, whole genome shotgun sequence.
GGGCAUGUGGCACAGUGGUAGCGCGCACGCUUUGCAUCUUAACUUGAUUGCGUGAGGCCCAGGGUUCGAACCCCUGCUUGUCCA